rnacentral:antisense_RNA from 1 species
AGAUGGGGUCUCACUCUGUUGCCCAGGCUGGUCUCAAACUCCUGGCUUCAAGGAAUCCUCCUGCUUCGGCCUCCCAAACUUCUGGGAUUACAGAUAUGAGCCACCAUGGCUGACUGACGGGCACCAAAUUCUAGGAGAGGACUUGAAUAGGCUCCUAAGGAGGCAGCAGAAACCAAGGUAAUCACAAUGGUCAACAGCAGCGAAGGCAGCACUUUCUGAUUUUAAACUUGACUGCUAUGGAUGCCACCUCAGUUUAAUAUCUGACAGGAGGUGUCCUGGUGAUUAGCUGGAGCUCUGGGGAGCUGUUGCUGAAAUUAACUUGAGUGCUUUGGAGAGAGAUUUACAUGGAAGAGUGGAGCCAGGGCUGCUCCUUUGGCAGGCACUGCUGUGCCACUGUGGAGGCGCCCCUGCUUUUCCCAUGCUGUGCAAUGUCCUCAAAGGCCUUUGGAGCCAUGCCUAGGCUCAGCCCCAUCCUGGUGUCCCCCUGUGUCCGUUGUGCCACUGCCCGGCUACUUCACUUGGCCAUGGGCCUUACCAGCUUGCAGACAAACCCGUCCAUCUACGCCUCCCAGCGCAGCUUGGCCCACUUGCAAGCACUUACAGAGGGUUUCAGAAGGAACAUGUCUGCCAUCUGUGUUUGGAGACUGUGUCCCAGACUUUCGAGCUCACAUUAGUCAUCGCCACAGACGGGACUGGAGUCCUGCCCACUGGAGUCCCAAAGGUCUCUGGUGUUUGUUUU